AGAGUUUGAUCCUGGCUCAGGAUGAACGCUGGCGGCGUGCCUAAUACAUGCAAGUCGAGCGAACGGACGAGAAGCUUGCUUCUCUGAUGUUAGCGGCGGACGGGUGAGUAACACGUGGAUAACCUACCUAUAAGACUGGGAUAACUUCGGGAAACCGGAGCUAAUACCGGAUAAUAUUUUGAACCGCAUGGUUCAAAAGUGAAAGACGGUCUUGCUGUCACUUAUAGAUGGAUCCGCGCUGCAUUAGCUAGUUGGUAAGGUAACGGCUUACCAAGGCAACGAUGCAUAGCCGACCUGAGAGGGUGAUCGGCCACACUGGAACUGAGACACGGUCCAGACUCCUACGGGAGGCAGCAGUAGGGAAUCUUCCGCAAUGGGCGAAAGCCUGACGGAGCAACGCCGCGUGAGUGAUGAAGGUCUUCGGAUCGUAAAACUCUGUUAUUAGGGAAGAACAUAUGUGUAAGUAACUGUGCACAUCUUGACGGUACCUAAUCAGAAAGCCACGGCUAACUACGUGCCAGCAGCCGCGGUAAUACGUAGGUGGCAAGCGUUAUCCGGAAUUAUUGGGCGUAAAGCGCGCGUAGGCGGUUUUUUAAGUCUGAUGUGAAAGCCCACGGCUCAACCGUGGAGGGUCAUUGGAAACUGGAAAACUUGAGUGCAGAAGAGGAAAGUGGAAUUCCAUGUGUAGCGGUGAAAUGCGCAGAGAUAUGGAGGAACACCAGUGGCGAAGGCGACUUUCUGGUCUGUAACUGACGCUGAUGUGCGAAAGCGUGGGGAUCAAACAGGAUUAGAUACCCUGGUAGUCCACGCCGUAAACGAUGAGUGCUAAGUGUUAGGGGGUUUCCGCCCCUUAGUGCUGCAGCUAACGCAUUAAGCACUCCGCCUGGGGAGUACGACCGCAAGGUUGAAACUCAAAGGAAUUGACGGGGACCCGCAGAAGCGGUGGAGCAUGUGGUUUAAUUCGAAGCAACGCGAAGAACCUUACCAAAUCUUGACAUCCUUUGACAACUCUAGAGAUAGAGCCUUCCCCUUCGGGGGACAAAGUGACAGGUGGUGCAUGGUUGUCGUCAGCUCGUGUCGUGAGAUGUUGGGUUAAGUCCCGCAACGAGCGCAACCCUUAAGCUUAGUUGCCAUCAUUAAGUUGGGCACUCUAAGUUGACUGCCGGUGACAAACCGGAGGAAGGUGGGGAUGACGUCAAAUCAUCAUGCCCCUUAUGAUUUGGGCUACACACGUGCUACAAUGGACAAUACAAAGGGCAGCGAAACCGCGAGGUCAAGCAAAUCCCAUAAAGUUGUUCUCAGUUCGGAUUGUAGUCUGCAACUCGACUACAUGAAGCUGGAAUCGCUAGUAAUCGUAGAUCAGCAUGCUACGGUGAAUACGUUCCCGGGUCUUGUACACACCGCCCGUCACACCACGAGAGUUUGUAACACCCGAAGCCGGUGGAGUAACCUUUUAGGAGCUAGCCGUCGAAGGUGGGACAAAUGAUUGGGGUGAAGUCGUAACAAGGUAGCCGUAUCGGAAGGUGCGGCUGGAUCACCU
rnacentral:rRNA from 1 species